UCUGAGAGAACAGCAUUAUUCCCACCUUGUAAAUAAGGAACAGAGAGGCAAAGAGCUGAAAAAGCCUGCCAAGAUUUGGAUAUUGGAAAGCUAAGUGAUGGCAGAAUCACUUAUUCUUUAAGGUUACCUCAGCUUGGUUAAGGAAAGCAGUCUUUAAACCUGGCAGAAAAGAUAAGGACUAUUAAACUCCGGGUCGGCUUGCUGAGACAGAUGAUGGGGUUUCUUCCUGGAACCUCCUGCCAACCUUAUGGAUUUUGCCGUCACUCGUUCUGUUCAGAAAGUGUUAGGACAGCCGGCAUGACCUUAAUGUCCCUCUCAGGGAGGAUGAAUGUAUUUUGGCGUCCAUAAAAGAAGAAACAAGAGGAGGAUUUACAUUUGAACAAGAGGACAAUUUGUGGCAGAUGUAUAUUUUUCUCAAUUAUUUGCUGCUCUACUGUGGGAGAAUUAUACUUCCUGCUUUUUUCAAGGCAGGCUUUGUUGUAUGGCUUGAUUUUUCUCCCUUCUGCAACAGUACGGCAUGCCCAAAUGGGGACUGCACAUUAAGCAUGGGUCUCAGAAUGAAGAAGAAUGAGAACAGAGGUGCCAUCUAACCUCAUCUGAUAUGAAACACAUGUGUAAGUGGCAACCACUAGGUGUCUUAAAGGUAUAAGUGACAUUGACUUCCCUUCUAAUUCCAUGAAGGGUGGAAGAGGAUUUAGUAGGAAUCCUAGCCCACCAAUCCCAAGUGAUCUUUGAGAAACUCAGGCUACCUUCAUUCUCUUGGAUUUUUCCAGAUUUGUGAUGGUUUGAGACUUCCCCUCUUCCUCCAUCAUCAUUUGGGCAGGUUGGAAUUA